AACAUUGCAUCGCAGAACCUCUCGUACUCUUUCUCUGUCACCUGAUAGCCCCUGAUCCCGGAAUGAUGGUGUUCCGUGCAUUGAAAGGGGGGAGGGGGAGUUAGGAUUUAGGAUACUGCGAGCUUGCAAGAGGGAAUUUGAGUAGUGGAUUAGAAGCCGGGGCGCAUUAUCACGAUCAGCCCUACUUCACAGAAGAGCGCGAGGUAGGAAGAGCAGUUGGAGCUGUGCUUCGCUUGAAACUAGGUGCGGAGCUCAUUCCACGCUAAGCGCCACGCCGCGCAUUACCGGAGCAUACAGCAGCAGCAAUGUGGAUUUACAGAAGAAGCGCAGUUGCAGUGGAAUCUGCAUCUGCGAGUGAAGGUGACUGGUGUGCUUGCGGAGAGGUAACGUAAACCUCAUUUCGAGCGGUUUUCAUGGAUAGGGUUUUGAAAUUCAGCUUUUGGGUUUAAGCCAGAGUUGCCUGCACAUAGGGUAUGGAAUUGGCUGUGUCUUGCUUGUCCGGACCUAGCGUUGAUAAGCGACACAGAGUUUAUGCAAGCGCGCGAUCGAGGUAGCCCAUGAAUGCUGCGAUUAGAGGAAAAGCGGUUGCAGCUGCGGUGAAAUUGGGUAGGACGAGUAUGUCGACAUCUUCAUCUGCACCGAAGAGGACGUAUACACCGCCGAGCAGGUGAAUCUGGAGGACGUAUCUAGAGUACUAUAGUAUUGUAAAGUGGCUAAGCAACAUGCCGGAUGCAAGUUGUAUGAUACAUAGAAAAAAGUAUUGUAACAAUGGCUAUCUAGUACCAUGAAUUCCGCAAGCCUGUGGCAAAGUGGUAAAACAACAAAACGCUCCUGUCCAGUGAUCCUUAAUGCGAAUCAAACCAUAUCUAUUCAGAGGCAGAGAGGAUGACAUGAGACCGAGCUCCGGACUCACUGUCUAGGGGCAGGUGGAGCAGGCAGUGGCGGCUGGCUGUAAUAGGGCUGUUGGAAGGGCUGAUAAGCUGGAACACACCCAGGAGAAAUAGGCUGUGGAGGCAUACCCAUAGAAUGCUGGUUGAUCAUCAUACGACCUUGAAGGGGAGGUGGUGGUGGCGGAAUUACGGAUUGGUAUGCGAAAGGCAAAAUAGUGCCAGAGCUACUCAAGUAUUGAGGCUUAGGUGGUGGGAGUGGAUAUGAAGAGAAAUCAGUAGCAUUUGUAUCUAGCCUUGGCUUCUUCUCUAACGGGGGGAAUGCUCCAUCUGAGCCGUUGUUGGGAGAUAACACUGGACCUUGAUUUGAUGCUUCUUCUGCGGCCAGUGAAGACAACGCUGACGUUAACAUAGCCGAUGAGGAAGGACUGGCUGUCAGCUUGGCUGCAACCUCGGCAGCAGCCACCUUUGCCGCAGACGAAAUGGGCUUAGGGCUGAUGUGAUGAAUAUCUGCUGCCUCAUUGAAAGUAUUAGUAGUAGCAACCAUGUCUUCAGAGCCGGAUGGACUGGGCGAAGCACUCACUCGACCAUCGUCUUUACUUCGCGCUGGCACCUGGCUCUCGUUCAGGUGAUCUAUUUCGCAAUCUCUUUCAAAUCCAUUGAAAGGGGCUUUCACACUAAGAAACUUAACUGUCGAUUCAGGGCUUCCGUUUCGGCUGUUCAAAUGGUGACGAAUGCUUCCAGCUUGUUGCAGUUGAGCUUGAGCUAUCUGCAAAGGCACCAUAUCCUCCUUGAGUCGAUCGACUCUGUCUAAUUCCAUGCAAAAGCAUUGUUCAGCCUAUGUUUGAGGAGAGCUAAAUGCUCAUUAUUUGCUAAACGUACAUCUAUAUCCUAACCCUGCAUGCCUAGAUGCCUUUCGAUACUGUAAUUUAAGAAGCUGGAUCCAUCACCUCUCUAACUGUAGGUAAGGGGGAUGGUGAAUUACGAUACCGAUCGUGUAAAGAAUCGCAUUAUCGACUACGGGUAUAAAAAUUACAGACCUGAA